rnacentral:lncRNA from 1 species
UGGAAAUUAUUUACAAUGCCUCAACAAUGAAUGGGAAAUCAAAACAUUAAAUACUGCAAGCAAGAAGACCAUCCUAUUUUGCAGUGAGUUUAAGAUACUCUAUUUGUAAUUCAUUUUUAUCCUUUUAAAAGGCAGGUUAAAUCUUUCAUUUAAAUAGACAUCUUGCCUAAGAAAGGGGCUGCUGGAGUUUGCCCAAUGUUUCCAUGCCUUUGAGUUGUUGCCAG